GACGAACGCUGGCGGCGUGCUUAUCACAUGCAAGUCGAGCGGUAAGGCCCUUUCGGGGGUACACGAGCGGCGAACGGGUGAGUAACACGUGGGUGACCUGCCCUCAGCUCUGGGAUAAGCCUGGGAAACCGGGUCUAAUACUGGAUAUGACUCCAUGACGCAUGUUGUGGGGUGGAAAGCCUUGUGCGGCUGAGGAUGGGCCCGCGGCCUAUCAGCUUGUUGGUGGGGUGAUGGCCUACCAAGGCGACGACGGGUAGCCGGCCUGAGAGGCGACCGGCCACACUGGGACUGAGACACGGCCCAGACUCCGUACGGGAGGCAGCAGGUGGGGAAUCUUGCGCAACGGGCGAAAGCCUGACGCAGCGACGCCGCGUGA
rnacentral:rRNA from 1 species